GUAAAGAGAACUAUUCUCACACUUCUGGCUGAACAUCAGAUCAGGUCUCUUGUAGGUUCAAACCUUGUUGUAGAGAUGGAACUUUGGCUGUGGAUUAUUCUGGCUGCUCUUUUAUUUGAGUGUAAAGGAGAAGACAGAGUGAUCCAGCCAACAGAAGAUGUAUUUGCUUCUGAAGGAGACACAGUCACACUUGAUUGUACAUUUGAGACCACUGACACAAAUCCCUCUUUGUUCUGGUACAGACAAGAAGCAGGGGACUUUCCAAAAUACAUGUUGAGAUGCUACUCAAACAAAGCAGAAAAUGCUCCUGGGAUCUCGGAAGACAGAUUUAAAGCUGCAAUCAACGGGAAAUCUGUUCCCCUGAAGAUCCAGAAGCUUCAGCUGACUGACUCUGCUGUGUACUACUGUGCUCUGAAGCCCACAGUGACAGGAAACACCACAACUCUGUACAAAAACCUCUGGAGAGAAGACAACACAAUACUCUCCCACAUCCACUAG